rnacentral:rRNA from 1 species
UGGGGAAUUUUGGACAAUGGGCGAAAGCUGAUCCAGCAAUGCCGCGUGUGUGAAGAAGGCCUUCGGGUUGUAAAGCACUUUUGUCCGGAAAGAAAUCCUUGGCUCUAAUACAGUCGGGGGAUGACGGUACCGGAAGAAUAAGCACCGGCUAACUACGUGCCAGCAGCCGCGGUAAUACGUAGGGUGCAAGCGUUAAUCGGAAUUACUGGGCGUAAAGCGUGCGCAGGCGGUUUGCUAAGACCGAUGUGAAAUCCCCGGGCUCAACCUGGGAACUGCAUUGGUGACUGGCAGGCUAGAGUAUGGCAGAGGGGGGUAGAAUUCCACGUGUAGCAGUGAAAUGCGUAGAGAUGUGGAGGAAUACCGAUGGCGAAGGCAGCCCCCUGGGCAAGUACUGACGCUCAUGCACGAAAGCGU